UUUCCGUAGGUGAACCUGCGGAAGGAUCAUUAUUGUAUAACCGAGGUGCGAGGGCUGUCGCUGACCCGACAGGUCGUGCACGCCCUAGUGCCCUCACACACAUCCAUCUCACCCCUAUGUGCACCACCGCGUGGGUCCCCCUUUGGCUUGUUCGGAGGGGGGCUUACGUUUUCACACAAACUUUGUAUGCAGUGUAGAAUGUAUUUUUUGUUUUUGCGAUCACGCAAUCAAUACAACUUUCAACAACGGAUCUCUUGGCUCUC
rnacentral:misc_RNA from 1 species